rnacentral:rRNA from 1 species
AUUGAACGCUGGCGGCAGGCCUAACACAUGCAAGUCGAGCGAGCGGCGGACGGGUGAGUAAUGUCUGGGAAACUGCCUGAUGGAGGGGGAUAACUACUGGAAACGGUAGCUAAUACCGCAUACCAUCGGAUGUGCCCAGAUGGGAUUAGCUAGUAGGUGGGGUAAAGGCUCACCUAGGCGACGAUCCCUAGCUGGUCUGAGAGGAUGACCAGCCACACUGGAACUGGGACACGGUCCAGACUCCUACGGGAGGCAGCAGUGGGGAAUAUUGCACAAUGGGCGCAAGCCUGAUGCAGCCAUGCCGCGUGUAUGAAGAAGGCCUUCGGGUUGUAAAGCACUUUCAGCGUGGAGGCGUUACUCGCAGAAGAAGCACCGGCUAACUCCGUGCCAGCAGCCGCGGUAAUUC